ensembl:lncRNA
GUGGGGCUCAGAGCCCAUGGGGUGCAGAUCCAGCCCAGAGUGAGCCCAGCCCCGGCAGAGAGGUGGACCCCACCUCGGAAGUUUCCUGAACGUGGCUGAGCCCGGAGUGGGAAUUUGACUGACAGGGGCGGGGCCAGGUUCUGGGGGCCCAGCCCCGAGAAGAAACGCCUGCAGUGUGCGGGAGGCCCGCAUCCGGGGACAGAGGGGAGUCAAGAGUGACAGAGUCAGCAGGGAGAGGAUGAACAGGAAGGAAGUGGGUGUGAGAAAAGUGGAAAUGUUCCCAAGCUCAGCUUGCAAGGCGAGUCUGUUCCAGCCACCAGCAUCAGACACAGGCAGCAGAAGAAAACCGUAGGUGAACCUCAUUUAAAGACAAGUUACCUACGAAAUAUUAGGAUAUCAUCAAAUCGAGCAUGAGAUCAUAAAAAACAUACAGUGUGUUCAACUACAGCUUAUUCCAGCAACAAGGGGCCGUUCAACGUUGGAAAAUAUACUAAUCUAAUUACUCCACUGGCAGGUUAAAUCACGUGAGUCUCUUAAUAGAGGCUGAAGCAGCAUUUGAUGUAAUUCACCACACAUUCCUG